UACGUAGGGGGCAAGCGUUAUCCGGAUUUACUGGGUGUAAAGGGAGCGUAGAGGGCUUUGCAAGCCAGAUGUGAAAGCCCGGGGCUCAACCCCGGGACUGCAUUUGGAACUGUGUGGCUAGAGUGUCGGAGAGGCAGGCGGAAUUCCUAGUGUAGCGGUGAAAUGCGUAGAUAUUAGGAGGAACACCAGUGGCGAAGGCGGCCUGCUGGACGAUGACUGACGUUGAGGCUCGAAAGCGUGGGGAGCAAAUAGG
rnacentral:rRNA from 1 species